UGCAUGUGCCUGGAACACGGUAAGAGUGCAGCAGCUGCUCGGCCUCAGCACUGGUAGCCGUCACCGUCAUAGCCACCACUGCCGUUUUCACCCAGGCUCUUUAUUACAUCAGCUCCUACCAGGUCCCCCUGCGUCUCCUCACCCCCUUCAUCCCGACGAUCUUGUGCAGAGCCAGCUCCCCAACUGGACGCGGCUGACACAUCAAGACCGUCAUCCCCGGACGUGCACCUCGCAGCUGCUGCCCGUGAAUUGCGUCAGUGCAGAAAUGCUGUUUGUUUUCUUCAUUUCCGUACAAAGCAACGGGAUCAGUGCCUGGCACAUAGAAGCUCAAUAAUUACCUGAAAAUAAAACAUUGCUAUAAGAUAAUUAUCUCUACCGUCUGUUACACAAGUGCAGUCGUACCUGCUCUGAAAGAGCGUCUCAAGAGCGUGGUGGAUCUUAACACUUACUAGGUACCAUUACUAUUCAUAUCAAAGGACAGACUCAAGAGCAUUUGCACCCGUGGAACGCAGCCCUCCUGUGCGUUACUGCUGCGGUGAUAUAAGGAAUGUAGGAACGUCGGGGCUCUCGAAACUCUGACCUGUGUGUUUCUACGUCAUGUCGCAGAUUCCAUCCCGAAUGUCUGCCCACCCCAGCAGACAUCCCUGUUCCCUUCUGCUGGAGCAGAACCGC